CCUACGGGGUGCAGCAGUGGGGAAUAUUGGGCAAUGGGCGCAAGCCUGACCCAGCAACGCCGCGUGAAGGAAGAAGGCUUUCGGGUUGUAAACCUCUGUUAUGAGGGAAGAGCAGAAGUCGGUACCUCUUGUUUAAGCUACGGCUAACUACGUGCCAGCAGCCGCGGCAAUACGUAGGUGGCAAGCGAUGUCCGGAUUUAGUGGGUGAAAAGUGUGCGUAGCCGGGUUGACAAGUCAGAUGUGAAAUGCCGGGGCUCAACCGCGGACCUGCAUUUAAAACUGUUGGUCUUGGGGAUGGGAGGGGGAGGCGGAAUUCAUGGUGUAGCGGUGAAAUGCGUGGAUAUUAGGGGGAACACCAGUGGCGAAGGCGGCCUGCUGGACGACAA
rnacentral:rRNA from 1 species